rnacentral:tRNA from 1 species
ACCAAAAUAGUUUAUAAAAAUAUUACGUUGUGGUCGUAGAGAUGUGACUUACUUUUGGUU